AUGGGUAAAUCAAUUCCCUCAUCUCCUCUCUCUCUAGCGAGAAGAGAGACCUACCGUCUUCUCACCUCUCUCAUUGACAUCCAAUUCCACCCACCAAUGGCGUGGCCGUGGCCACAGGUCACCACCACCAUCGCCAUCUUGAUCCUAUUUCUCGUGGCUGAGGUCGUUUCCUCUGGCGAAGCAACCACCACCAUCCUCCGACCACCCCACAGCGGCAGCAAUCGCCACACCAUGUUCUUCUCCCUCUUUCUCUUUCUCUCCUCCUAGCAGCUCUUCCAACAACUCCUCUCCUUCCGUCCGCCGCCAGAUUCAAGGAUCUGACCCUCUCCACCCUAACGCUCGCAUACUCCUCUAUGGCGAUCUCCUUCUUAACGGGAUUCAGAUGCUUAUAUUCGGAAAAGGGUCCUUGAACUUGUGUAUCUUCUUGUAAAUGAAAGCAAUGUAAAGUCUCUGACAAAAGAGCUUAUUGAAUAUCUGGAAGUAAGUGAGCAAGAUUUCAAAGGAGAUCUUACUGCCAAAAUUUGCUUCAUUGUUGGAAAGAGAAUGGUGAUGGAACUUCUAGGGAUAAAUCUAGAAUGGUGGAUGGUGAAACCGAGGACUCCUGUACCAAACCAGAAAUAUCUAGUAAAAAAUCAGGCAUUGAUCAUUGUAGCAAUGAGGAAAGUAAUCCUGCAAAAACUGAUGCAAUGAAUGGUUUUUGACGUACAAAUGUGGAUAUGACUUUUUUUGACAAGUACGGAAGGGCAUUGUUUUUAUAUCUCCGUCCGUAUAUAUAGUGGUUCAUACAAAUUAGAUUUUCGGCGUAGUAAAUAUCCAAAAUUUGGCCUGAUAGAAAUUAGCAUUGGACGUGGUACAAAUUAGUUUUUGGAGCGGUGCAGAAUAAAUUUUUGGUGUGGUAUAGAUUUCCUUUUGGAUAUUAAAUUUGGUUAAUCCUCUAAUAUGUAUGGAAUUAAAUUAUUGGGGUUGAAUUAUACUUGGUUCGUAUGGAAUUUGUAUUACAUUUAGAAUUGGACGUUGAAUAUAAAUUUUUUGGAUGGUUGGAAGUGAAAUGUGUGCACGUU